rnacentral:rRNA from 1 species
GGUGUCAGCAGCCGCGCGGUAAUACGUAGGGCGCGAGCGUUGUCCGGAAUUAUUGGGCGUAAAGAGCUCGUAGGCGGCUGGUCGCGUCUGUCGUGAAAUCCUCUGGCUUAACUGGGGGCUUGCGGUGGGUACGGGCCGGCUUGAGUGCGGUAGGGGAGACUGGAACUCCUGGUGUAGCGGUGGAAUGCGCAGAUAUCAGGAAGAACACCGGUGGCGAAGGCGGGUCUCUGGGCCGUUACUGACGCUGAGGAGCGAAAGCGUGGGGAGCGAACAGGAUUAGAUACCCUGGUAGUCCACGCCGUAAACGUUGGGCACUAGGUGUGGGGGGCCUUUUCCGGGUCUUCCGCGCCGUAGCUAACGCAUUAAGUGCCCCGCCUGGGGAGUACGGCCGCAAGGCUAAAACUCAAAGGAAUUGACGGGGGCCCGCACAAGCGGCGGAGCAUGCGGAUUAAUUCGAUGCAACGCGAAGAACCUUACCAAGGCUUGACAUGUGCCGGUCGGCUCCGGAGACGGGGUUUCCUCCUUGUGGGGCCGGUUCACAGGUGGUGCAUGGUUGUCGUCAGCUCGUGUCGUGAGAUGUUGGGUUAAGUCCCGCAACGAGCGCAACCCUUGUCCCGUGUUGCCAGCACGUUGUGGUGGGGACUCGCGGGAGACUGCCGGGGUCAACUCGGAGGAAGGUGGGGAUGACGUCAAAUCAUCAUGCCCCUUAUGUCUUGGGCUUCACGCAUGCUACAAUGGCCGGUACAGAGGGCUGCGAUACCGUGAGGUGGAGCGAAUCCCUUAAAGCCGGUCUCAGUUCGGAUCGGUGUCUGCAACUCGACACCGUGAAGUUGGAGUCGCUAGUAAUCGCAGAUCAGCAACGCUGCGGUGAAUACGUUCUCGGGCCUUGUACACACCGCUCGUCAA